rnacentral:misc_RNA from 1 species
GACGAACCGUGCGAACGUUGUUCGGAAUCACUGGGCUUAAAGGGCGCGUAGGCGGCUAUCCAAGUCCGGGGUGAAAUCCUGCAGCUUAACUGUAGAAGUGCCUUGGAUAUUGGUUGGCUCGAGGGAAGUAGGGGUCUGUGGAACUGCUGGUGGAGCGGUGAAAUGCGUUGAUAUCAGCAGGAACGCCGGUGGCGAAAGCGACGGACUGGACUUCUUCUGACGCUGAGGCGCGAAAGCUAGGGGAGCAAACGGG